AUUGAACGCUGUCGUCAUGCUUUACACAUGCAAGUCGGACGAGUGGCGAACGGGUGAGUAACGCAUCGGAACGUACCGAGUAAUGGGGGAUAACUGUCCGAAAGGACAGCUAAUACCGCAUAUUAUUCGAGCGGCCGAUGUUUGAUUAGCUGGUUGGCGGGGUAAAGGCCCACCAAGGCGACGAUCAGUAGCGGGUCUGCGAGGAGAAUCCGCCACACAGGGACUGAAACACGACCCUGACUCCUACGGGAGGCAGCAGGUGGAAAUUUUGGACAAUGGGCGCAAGCCUGAUCCAGCCAUGUCGCGUGUCUGAAGAAGUCCUUCGGGGUGUAAAGGACUUUUGUCAGGGAAGCGGUACCUGAAGAAUAAGCACCGGCUAACUACGAGCCAGCAGCCGCGGUAAUAC
rnacentral:rRNA from 1 species